rnacentral:rRNA from 1 species
AACGAACGCUGGCGGCAGGCUUAACACAUGCAAGUCGAACGGGCACCUUCGGGUGUCAGUGGCAGACGGGUGAGUAACGCGUGGGAACGUACCCUUCGGUUCGGAAUAACCCAGGGAAACUUGGGCUAACACCGGAUACGUCCGCAAGGAGAAGAUUUAUCGCCGAAGGAUCGGCCCGCGUCGGAUUAGCUAGUUGGUGGGGAAUGGCCCACCAAGGCGACGAUCCGUAGCUGGUCUGAGAGGAUGANC